rnacentral:rRNA from 1 species
AGAGUUUGAUCCUGGCUCAGGAUGAACGUUGGCGGCGUGCCUAAUACAUGCAAGUCGAACGAAGACUGUAGUAAUACUGUCUUAGUGGCGAACGGGUGAGUAACGCGUGGGUGACCUGCCCCGAAGUGUGGGAUAACAGUUCGAAAGGACUGCUAAUACCGCAUAAUAUCCAAGAGAUUAGACGCUUUUGGAUUAAAGGAGUAAUUCGCUUCGGGAGGGGCCCGCGUCCCAUCAGCUAGUUGGUAAGGUAAUGGCUUACCAAGGCGAUGACGGGUAGGGGACCUGAGAGGGUGGCCCCCCACAAUGGAACUGAAACACGGUCCAUACACCUACGGGUGGCAGCAGUAGGGAAUAUUAGUAAUGGGCGAAAGCCUGAACUAGCAACGCCGCGUGUGCGAAGAAGGCCUUCGGGUUGUAAAGCACUUUUUGAGAGGAUGAGGAAGGACGGUACUCUCAGAAUAAGUCUCGGCUAACUACGUGCCAGCAGCCGCGGUAACACGUAGGAGGCAAACGUUAUCCGGAUUUACUGGGCGUAAAGCGCGUGUAGGUGGUUUGGUAAGUAGGGCGUGAAAGCUCCUGGCUCAACUGGGAGAGGACGUUCUAAACUACCAAGCUUGAGGAUGGUAGAGGGAGGUGGAAUUCCGGGUGUAGCGGUGGAAUGCGCAGAUAUCCGGAGGAACACCAGUGGCGAAGGCGGCCUCCUGGACCAUUCCUGACACUCAGACGCGAAAGCUAGGGUAGCAAACGGGAUUAGAGACCCCGGUAGUCCUAGCCCUAAACGAUGUAGACUUGGCGUCGGUGGUUUAAACGCCAUCGGUGUCGGAGCUAACGCGUUAAGUCUACCGGCCUGGGGACUAUGGCCGCAAGGGUUAAAACUCAAAUGAAUUGACGG